rnacentral:rRNA from 12 species
GAAGGUGGCUGCACCCGUGUGAAACUGCCUGAUAGUGUCCUAUCUUAGAAGCUAAGCAGGGCUGUGCCUGGUUAGUACUUGGAUGGGAAACCAACUUGGAGGACCUGGGGCUGCUUGCC